rnacentral:rRNA from 1 species
GACGAACGCUGGCGGCGUGCUUAACACAUGCAAGUCGAGCGGUAAGGCCCUUUCGGGGUACACGAGCGGCGAACGGGUGAGUAACACGUGGGUGACCUGCCCUCAGCUCUGGGAUAAGCCUGGGAAACCGGGUCUAAUACUGGAUAUGACUCCAUGACGCAUGUUGUGGGGUGGAAAGCCUUGUGCGGCUGAGGAUGGGCCCGCGGCCUAUCAGCUUGUUGGUGGGGUGAUGGCCUACCAAGGCGACGACGGGUAGCCGGCCUGAGAGGGCGACCGGCCACACUGGGACUGAGACACGGCCCAGACUCCUACGGGAGGCAGCAGUGGGGAAUCUUGCGCAAUGGGCGAAAGCCUGACGCAGCGACGCCGCGUGAGGGAUGACGGCCU